CCUACGGGAGGCAGCAGUGGGGAAUAUUGCACAAUGGGGGAAACCCUGAUGCAGCGACGCCGCGUGAGUGAAGAAGUAUUUCGGUAUGUAAAGCUCUAUCAGCAGGGAAGAAAAUGCCGGUACCUGAUUCAGAAGCCCCGUCUAACUACGUUCCAGCAGCCGCGGUAAUACGUCGGCGGCAAGCGUUAUCCGGAUUUACUGGGUGUAAAGGGAGCGUAGGCGGCAGCACAAGUCUGGAGUGAAAUGCCGGGGCUUAACCCCGGAACUGCUUUGGAAACUGUGCAGCUAGAGUGCAGGUGAGGUAAGUGGAAUGCCUGGUGUAGCGGUGAAAUGCGUAGAGAUUAGGAAGAACACCAGUGGCGAAGGCGGCUUACUGGACUGUAACUGACGUUGAGGCUCGAAAGCGUGGGGAGCAAACAGGAUUAGAUACCCGAGUAGUC
rnacentral:rRNA from 1 species